AUGAACGCUAGCUACAGGCUUAACACAUGCAAGUCGAGGGGCAGCAUUUCAGUUUGCUUGCAAACUGGAGAUGGCGACCGGCGCACGGGUGAGUAACACGUAUCCAACCUGCCGAUAACUCGGGGAUAGCCUUUCGAAAGAAAGAUUAAUACCCGAUGGUAUAAUCAGACCGCAUGGUCUUGUUAUUAAAGAAUUUCGGUUAUCGAUGGGGAUGCGUUCCAUUAGGCAGUUGGUGAGGUAACGGCUCACCAAACCUUCGAUGGAUAGGGGUUCUGAGAGGAAGGUCCCCCACAUUGGAACUGAGACACGGUCCAAACUCCUACGGGAGGCAGCAGUGAGGAAUAUUGGUCAAUGGGCGCAGGCCUGAACCAGCCAAGUAGCGUGAAGGAUGACUGCCCUAUGGGUUGUAAACUUCUUUUAUAUGGGAAUAAAGUUUUCCACGUGUGGAAUUUUGUAUGUACCAUAUGAAUAAGGAUCGGCUAACUCCGUGCCAGCAGCCGCGGUAAUACGGAGGAUCCGAGCGUUAUCCGGAUUUAUUGGGUUUAGAGGGAGCGUAGGUGGACAGUUAAGUCAGUUGUGAAAGUUUGCGGCUCAACCGUAAAAUUGCAGUUGAUACUGGCUGUCUUGAGUACAGUAGAGGUGGGCGGAAUUCGUGGUGUAGCGGUGAAAUGCUUAGAUAUCACGAAGAACUCCGAUUGCGAAGGCAGCUCACUGGACUGCAACUGACACUGAUGCUCGAAAGUGUGGGUAUCAAACAGGAUUAGAUACCCUGGUAGUCCACACAGUAAACGAUGAAUACUCGCUGUUUGCGAUAUACAGUAAGCGGCCAAGCGAAAGCAUUAAGUAUUCCACCUGGGGAGUACGCCGGCAACGGUGAAACUCAAAGGAAUUGACGGGGGCCCGCACAAGCGGAGGAACAUGUGGUUUAAUUCGAUGAUACGCGAGGAACCUUACCCGGGCUUAAAUUGCAUUUGAAUAUAUUGGAAACAGUAUAGCCGUAAGGCAAAUGUGAAGGUGCUGCAUGGUUGUCGUCAGCUCGUGCCGUGAGGUGUCGGCUUAAGUGCCAUAACGAGCGCAACCCUUAUCUUUAGUUACUAACAGGUCAUGCUGAGGACUCUAGAGAGACUGCCGUCGUAAGAUGUGAGGAAGGUGGGGAUGACGUCAAAUCAGCACGGCCCUUACGUCCGGGGCUACACACGUGUUACAAUGGGGGGUACAGAAGGCAGCUACCUGGUGACAGGAUGCUAAUCCCAAAAGCCUCUCUCAGUUCGGAUCGAAGUCUGCAACCCGACUUCGUGAAGCUGGAUUCGCUAGUAAUCGCGCAUCAGCCAUGGCGCGGUGAAUACGUUCCCGGGCCUUGUACACACCGCCCGUCAAGCCAUGAAAGCCGGGGGUACCUGAAGUACGUAACCGCAAGGAGCGUCCUAGGGUAAAACUGGUAAUUGGGGCU
rnacentral:rRNA from 1 species